UACGUAGGGGGCAAGCGUUGUCCGGAAUUAUUGGGCGUAAAGAGCGCGUAGGCGGUCCGGUAAGUCGGUUGUGAAAGUCGGGGGCUCAACCCUCGGAUGCCGAUCGAUACUGUCGGGCUAGAGUUCGGAAGAGGCGAGUGGAAUUCCCGGUGUAGCGGUGAAAUGCGCAGAUAUCGGGAGGAACACCUAUGGCGAAGGCAGCUCGCUGGGACGUUACUGACGCUGAGACGCGAAAGCGUGGGGAGCAAACAGG
rnacentral:rRNA from 1 species